CCCUACGGGGCGCAGCAGUGGGGAAUAUUGCCCAAUGGGGGAAACCCUGAUGCAGCGACGCCGCGUAAGUGAAGAAGUAUUUCGGUAUGUAAAGCUCUAUCCGCAGGGAAGAAAAAAGACGGUACCUGACUAAGAAGCCCCGGCUAACUACGUGCCAGCAGCCGCGGUAAUACGUAGGGGGCAAGCGUUAUCCGGAUUUACUGGGUGUAAAGGGAGCGUAGACGGCUGUGCAAGUCUGAAGUGAAAUGCCGGGGCCCAACCCCGGAACUGCUUUGGAAACUGUACAGCUAGAGUGCAG
rnacentral:rRNA from 1 species